GCAAGUCGAACGGGAAUCUUCGGAUUCUAGUGGCGGACGGGUGAGUAACGCGUAAGAAUCUAACUUCAGGACGGGGACAACAGUUGGAAACGACUGCUAAUACCCGAUGUGCCGAAAGGUGAAACCUAAUUGGCCUGAAGAAGAGCUUGCGUCUGAUUAGCUAGUUGGUGGGGUAAAGGCCUACCAAGGCGACGAUCAGUAGCUGGUCUGAGAGGAUGAGCAGCCACACUGGGACUGAGACACGGCCCAGACUCCUACGGGAGGCAGCAGUGGGGAAUUUUCCGCAAUGGGCGAAAGCCUGACGGAGCAACGCCGCGUGAGGGAGGAAGGUCUUUGGAUUGUAAACCUCUUUUCUCAAGGAAGAAGUUCUGACGGUACUUGAGGAAUCAGCCUCGGCUAACUCCGUGCCAGCAGCCGCGGUAAUACGGGGGAGGCAAGCGUUAUCCGGAAUUAUUGGGCGUAAAGCGUCCGCAGGUGGUCAGCCAAGUCUGCCGUCAAAUCAGGUUGCUUAACGACCUAAAGGCGGUGGAAACUGGCAGACUAGAGAGCAGUAGGGGUAGCAGGAAUUCCCAGUGUAGCGGUGAAAUGCGUAGAGAUUGGGAAGAACAUCGGUGGCGAAAGCGUGCUACUGGGCUGUAUCUGACACUCAGGGGACGAAAGCUAGGGGAGCGAAAGGGAUUAGAUACCCCUGUAGUCCUAGCCGUAAACGAUGGAUACUAGGCGUGGCUUGUAUCGACCCGAGCCGUGCCGAAGCUAACGCGUUAAGUAUC
rnacentral:rRNA from 1 species